rnacentral:rRNA from 1 species
GGGUUGUGAGGUUAAGCGACUAAGCGUACACGGUGGAUGCCCUGGCAGUCAGAGGCGAUGAAGGGCGUGCUAAUCUGCGAUAAGCGCCGGUAAGGUGAUAUGAACCGUUAUAACCGGCGAUACCCGAAUGGGGAAACCCAGUGUGAUUCGUCACACUAUCAUUAACUGAAUCCAUAGGUUAAUGAGGCGAACCGGGGGAACUGAAACAUCUAAGUACCCCGAGGAAAAGAAAUCAACCGAGAUUCCCCCAGUAGCGGCGAGCGAACGGGGAGGAGCCCAGAGCCUGAAUCAGCAUGUGUGUUAGUGGAAGCGUCUGGAAAGGCGCGCGAUACAGGGUGACAGCCCCGUACACAAAAGCGCAUGUGUUGUGAGCUCGAUGAGUAGGGCGGGACACGUGGUAUCCUGUCUGAAUAUGGGGGGACCAUCCUCCAAGGCUAAAUACUCCUGACUGACCGAUAGUGAACCAGUACCGUGAGGGAAAGGCGAAAAGAACCCCGGCGAGGGGAGUGAAAAAGAACCUGAAACCGUGUACGUACAAGCAGUGGGAGCACCCUUUGGGGUGUGACUGCGUACCUUUUGUAUAAUGGGUCAGCGACUUAUAUUCUGUAGCAAGGUUAACCGAAUAGGGGAGCCGGAGGGAAACCGAGUCUUAACCGGGCGUUAAGUUGCAGGGUAUAGACCCGAAACCCGGUGAUCUAGCCAUGGGCAGGUUGAAGGUUGGGUAACACUAACUGGAGGACCGAACCGACUAAUGUUGAAAAAUUAGCGGAUGACCUGUGGCUGGGGGUGAAAGGCCAAUCAAACCGGGAGAUAGCUGGUUCUCCCCGAAAGCUAUUUAGGUAGCGCCUCGUGAAUUCAUCUCCGGGGGUAGAGCACUGUUUCGGCUAGGGGGCCAUCCCGGCUUACCAACCCGAUGCAAACUGCGAAUACCGGAGAAUGUUAUCACGGGAGACACACGGCGGGUGCUAACGUCCGUCGUGAAGAGGGAAACAACCCAGACCGCCAGCUAAGGUCCCAAAGUCAUGGUUAAGUGGGAAACGAUGUGGGAAGGCCCAGACAGCCAGGAUGUUGGCUUAGAAGCAGCCAUCAUUUAAAGAAAGCGUAAUAGCUCACUGGUCGAGUCGGCCUGCGCGGAAGAUGUAACGGGGCUAAACCAUGCACCGAAGCUGCGGCAGCGA